GGUCCCACGCUCCAGGAGGUGGAGCCAGCCUUCCGCGCAGGCAGCAACAGGUGGCAGUAACAGUAAUGGGUGCCAGCUGGAGAGUGGCUGCAGGGAACCAUG